rnacentral:rRNA from 1 species
UACGUAGGGUGCAAGCGUUGUCCGGAAUUAUUGGGCGUAAAGAGCUCGUAGGCGGUCUGUCGCGUCUGCUGUGAAAACUCAGGGCUUAACCCUGAGCUUGCAGUGGGUACGGGCAGACUAGAGUGCGGUAGGGGAGACUGGAAUUCCUGGUGUAGCGGUGAAAUGCGCAGAUAUCAGGAGGAACACCGGUGGGCGAAGGCGGGUCUCUGGGACGGUACUGACGCU